rnacentral:rRNA from 1 species
UGCUCGAGUGGCGAACGGGUGAGUAACACGUGGGUGAUCUGCCCUGCACUUCGGGAUAAGCUCGGGAAACUGGGUCUAAUACCGGAUAGGACCAUCGUUUAGUGUCGGUGGUGGAAAGUUUUUUCGGUGUGGGAUGAGCUCGCGGCCUAUCAGCUUGUUGGUGGGGUAAUGGCCUACCAAGGCGUCGACGGGUAGCCGGCCUGAGAGGGUGUACGGCCACAUUGGGACUGAGAUACGGCCCAG